rnacentral:sRNA from 1 species
UCGGUUUGAAAUACAGACCGCUUGCAAAACAUUUUACUAAAGCAAUCCUCAUCACCAGGCGCUAUCGCUGAUACCCUUUUUUUGAGUGUAAUCGUUCAAUGCCAAGCGUUUUCUGUAAAACAGACCAUAUUGCCGAGAGGCUUAAAAAAGGUAAGCAAAAUGUCUGCAAAAAUGAUUGGGUUAGUUAAAUGGUUUAACGGUGAUAAAGGCUUUGGUUUUAUCUCGCCAAUCGAUGGCAGUAAAGAUGUUUUCGUACAUUUUUCUGCGCUCAGCGGAGAUAAUUUUAAAACAUUAUUUGAAGGCCAAAAGGUUGAGUUCUCGAUUGAAAGUGGAGCUAAAGGCCCGGCAGCUGCUAAUGUUGUUCU